UGGAAAAAUUGCAUUUCACAGAUUAUAUUUCCUAUUCACCAAGUAGUUAUGAAUUUAAUUGCGUGACGGAGCCUUCCGUAUUCUCCGACAAAGUUGAAAUACAAACAAGAACGUUUUUAGAAACUAAUAUCGAAAAGGAUGGAUGCUCUUGUUCACAAGUUUGCCAUGCAAGAGUUGCAAUACAUAUUAUUGGAGUUGGUAAAGUUGUGGAAAAACUUAUUAAAGGAGGUUUAGAAGAUGCCUACUCAAAACUUGGUUCUCUAUGCCUAGACUUUAUGGAACUGUACCCAGAGUUGUGCAAAGCUUAACGGCAAAUAUUCGUGUCUCAUAUAACAAUAUCGGUGAAGUCUACUUUUUUGUAAUAGCUAUGUAUUUAACGG